UGGGGAAUUUUGGACAAUGGGCGCAAGCCUGAUCCAGCAAUGCCGCGUGCAGGAUGAAGGCCUUCGGGUUGUAAACUGCUUUUGUGCGGAACGAAAAGACUCUCUCCAAUACAGGGGGUUGAUGACGGUACCGUAAGAAUAAGCACCGGCUAACUACGUGCCAGCAGCCGCGGUAAUACGUAGGGUGCGAGCGUUAAUCGGAAUUACUGGGCGUAAAGCGUGCGCAGGCGGUUUUGUAAGACAGAUGUGAAAUCCCCGGGCUCAACCUGGGACCUGCAUUUGUGACUGCAAGGCUAGAGUACGGUAGAGGGGGAUGGAAUUCCGCGUGUAGCAGUGAAAUGCGUAGAUAUGCGGAGGAACACCGAUGGCGAAGGCAAUCCCCUGGACCUGUACUGACGCUCAUGCACGAAAGCGUGGGGAGCAAAC
rnacentral:rRNA from 1 species